rnacentral:lncRNA from 10 species
UAUGACUUUCUGAGGGUAAUCUUGGCCCAGCUACGUACUCCUUGAACUCACCUUCAAGUGGCUCUUUGGUGGUCUUCUAGUCAGGGGUUUACACUUGUUUGUUUCUCAGACUUUAGGGGAAAAUGUUAAUCCUACCCACAGCUCAGCUGCCAAACCCUGAACUUAACUGGACAGAAUGCAGCUGUAUUCCAGCUACUUGCAAGGAAGUAUAAUCCCUCUGUUACUCAAUACCUUUAAAAGCUCAGCUGGGAAAUAAUACUUGUGGAGAACAUCCUGGAAAACACUCAUCCUAUCAUCUAGAAACUCUCUCUAACCAAAGUUAGGCAAGACAAUCCUGGAAUUUACAGGUCUUAGGAUUCAUGAGACUGAAUUCUGACAGAUCUGCCUAUCGUUGGCAACAAAUGAUUCAUGGACCACCACUCAUCUAUAGACCAGACAUUAGUAAGAUGUGCUUGCUUCUCCUUCGCCUUUCACCAUGACUGUAAGUUUCCAGAGGCCUCCCAGUCAUGGUUCCUGUUAAGCUUGCAGAACGUGCACACAACCUGGAGCAAAGAGAUGUCAACGUAGACUUGAAAGCCUCAACAAACAUCUAUACAUUCAAAAUUCAGAGGAUAAUUGCAGACUUACAUGUUAAAUGAUGCCACAGGCUUGUGGUGAAUGUACAAAUCUAAUUCCCUAAACCUAUGAUACUACAGCUGACCCUUGAACAACAUGGGUUUGGACUACACGGUUCCAGCUAUACACGAUGUUUUUCAGCCAAACACAGAUCAAAAAUGCAGUAUUUGUGGGAUAUGGAACUUACCUAUAUGGAAGGCUGACUUUUCUUAUACUUUGGUUCCAUGGGGCUGACUGCAAGAUUUGAGUAUGCUUGUAUUUUGGUAUACUCAGGCCAGCGCCCUGGAAUCAAUUCCCUGCAUAUACCCAAGGAUGGUUGCAUUUAGAUAAUCGGAGCAUUACAAUGCCAUUUGUUAUGCAAAGAACAGCUUCUAUAAUUUGUGAAAUUUCAGUGAAAAAUAAAAUAUAAAGAUUUCACUCUAUUAAACUCUAUUAUUACUAAGAAAAUGAGAACUGAGUCUCAAAGGUAGUUAAUACAACGUAUUGAUCCAGCAGAAAUAGCUAUUCCUAUGAAUGCCAAAAUGAUUAGUCACUUUGUUAUUAAAUCAGCCUCACUGAUUAUUUUAGAUAUUAUAAACGGAAGUGAUUUUCAAUUUUCAACCCAACCAGAUGUUAUUGGCGUGCAUCAAACACAGAUAAGAGUGAAUCUACUCAGAAGAAAAUCAAGGAGAAUAUAGCUAAAAAUAUGCUAUGAGGCUAAUGUUCUGUUUAAAGAAAGGCUUAUUUGAUAUUUCUAUAGUGUUGAAUGACAUUUUCCGGAAAAAAAAUUGUUAAAUUUUAAAUAGAUUAUAUAAUGUAAUACCAAAAUUAUUUCAAUAAUGUUAUUAGAAAUAUGCUUUUUUUUUUUUUGAGACGCAGUCUCACUCUGUCACCUAGGCUGCAGUGCAGUGGCAUGAUCUCAGCUCACUGCAACCUCUGCCUCCUGAGUUCAAGCAAUUCUCCUGCCUCAGCCUCCCAGGUAGCUGGGAUUCCAAGCGUGCACCACCAUGCCCAGCUAAUUUUUGUGUUUUCAGUAGAGACAGGGUUUCACCAUGUUGGCCAGGCUGGUCUCAAACUCCUGACCUCAAGUGAUCAUCCCGCCUCAGCCCCCCAAAGUGUUGGGAUUACAGGCAUGAGCCACCACACCUGGCCAGAAAUAUGCAUAUUUUUGAUUUUGCAUUUUCUAGUCCAUGUUUUCCAUCAUAAAAUAGGUUUUUCCAAAAAUUGAAUUAUUUACAAAAAUUUAAAAAAAUCCUUCAUCUUUAGAAUGUAUUUUUUGAAUUAUCAUUCGUUAUACCAGAAGAUACUUAAUUUAAGAAACACAUAAUUUCCUUAUUAAUAUUCUACAAUAAAUUUCUUAGGCUCAUUGUUCUUUAAUAUAUAGGCAAAAAUAUUUGGUGAUUUCUUAAACAAUUGGGUCCAAAUACUGCCUUAAUUUCAUUUCCUACCAAUGAAUUCAUUCCCUUAAAACCAGAGAGAUUCCAGUUUUUUACACACGUUCCCCAAGAAACUGAAUAUUUUAGGCUUACCACAAAACAGACAGUAAUAAAAUUAUAAAAGCAGAGAUGUACAAACAUGACUCCAGAGGUCUCAAAAUGUCUCUAACAGGGGAUGCCUGACAUUAUGGCAAACUAAGCUUGCUAGAUAUUCAGCUUCUUACCACAAACACAUUAAAAAAUCAUGACUAGAAGAUAAAGAUAAAAUAUUUAAAUAAAGACAUUUUAAUUACAUACGUUAGCUCAAAAGAAAAAAAAAAGUGAAACAUCUAAGCCAGAAGGAUUAAAUACAUUUAUAUUCUGGCCACUUCUGGGGGAGUUGCAUCCUGUUCUAGGUUUGGGACACUGGAGUUCUAAUAUUUUUAAGGACACAAAAGAUGACUCUUCUAGCAUGUGAAGACAGAAGAAACUGGAACUGAACCCCUUACAUAAAACCUAGAGCCUUUCAGAUCUGUCCUAUUGUUAAUAGGAGAAUAGAAAAAAUGCCACAGAAUGAUCUGAGUAAGCAGCAAUAUAGCUCAUCUUGCUCAAGAGCUAUUUUAUGAAAAGAAAAUAAGAGUCACAGGAGAAAUCAAAAUUCCAAUAAAGAUGUGAGCCCAGGUCUUUCUUAUUUCAAAGCUCUUGAUUUUUGCUUUGGUCUCUGCUGGCCUUCCUUUCUCUGAAUUGUCUUUAUGUUAUGUAGAGUAAAGAGAGUUUUAUUCUUGAACCCAGAACCAAAGCUAUACACAAACUAUUCUCACAACUUUUUUUUUUAAAGACAUGCCAUCCUAUCGACCUUGUUAAAUGAUUUUUUUUGGAAUGAUAGGGCAUUCCUCCUACUUUUCCUGCAAUUAUUUUCUAGCAUAGAUCUCAAAGAUCUGCAAACUAGUAAACAAUAAACCUAAAGCAGUAAAAACUUCAGACCCCUGCAUCCAAGCUUAAUUAAGUCAGAAAUUGAAUUCCAUUAUGUCAUGGGAUAUGCCCUAGAGAAUUGUAUUGAUUCUCUCCUCUACGCCCAAAUGCACUUGAGCUAAAAGGCAUCUUUGCAAUCACAAAGCAUCCCAGCCUGGAGAAAGCUAUAUUUUGAGAAAGAAUGUAGGUAGGUAUUCAUAUUAGAUGUGGGAAUCAAAGUCACCUUAAGUACAAUCUUGAUGUUACACUUGUGUUUUAAAAAAAUGGGAAGUUGGAGAUGAACUCGUUCAUGGAGCUCAGAAUUAUUUGCUGUUUGACCAAUAUUGUACCAUAUAAGCCGUGUUAUCUGUAAAACUAUACAUUCAUGUAUUAAAUAUGUAUAAAAGGUAAGAGGAUUGUUCUUUUAUUGUGCACACAUUUCCAUGAGCUGCAAAGAUGAGAAUGUGAUGGAUGUAAUAAUACAGACAACAAAUUUGUGGUUGUAUGGGGAAUAUUCACUGCACCCACUGGAAUUGAUUCUAGGCUAGAAUCUAUAACUAUUAGAUGUAAGCAUGUAGAGACCAUCUCAUUUUAUUCCUAGUAACUGGCAUUUCUUCCCACCAGGGUUUAUCCUGAAGCUGAUGAUUGAAAAAUGAAUCCUCAAACAUGGUGACAUAGACAAAAGUAAGGCAUAGUAUUUCAAGGUCAAGUACUACUGCGUUUCAAUUAAAUGGUGGAUGAAGAGAGAGGAACAUCCUUUUUGAAUUCUCUAAAGUAUCAAGUCUCAUCUACUUUGAACAGUUUUCUCUAUGAGACUGCCUUGCUGAGAAAAUGGUUGCAAAAACCAAGGUGAAUGGUUGAUGAUGAGAUAGUAAUAA